rnacentral:rRNA from 1 species
CCUACAGGAGGCUGCAGUGGGGGAUAUUGCACAAUGGGGGGAACCCUGAUGCAGCGACGCCGCGUGGGUGAAGAAGCGCCUCGGCGCGUAAAGCCCUGUCAGCAGGGAAGAAAAUGACGGUACCUGAAGAAUAAGCCCCGGCUAACUACGUGCCAGCAGCCGCGGUAAUACGUAGGGGGCAAGCGUUAUCCGGAUUUACUGGGUGUAAAGGGGGCGCAGACGGCGAUGCAAGCCAGGAGUGAAAGCACGGGGCCCGACCCCGGGACUGCUCUUGGAACUGCGUGGCUGGAGUGCAGGAUGGGCAGGCGGAAUUCCUGGUGUAGCGGUGAAAUGCGUAGAUAUCAGGAGGAACACCGGUGGCGAAGGCGGCCUGCUGGACUGCAACUGACGUUGAGGCCCGAAAGCGUGGGGAGCAAACAGGAUUAGAUACCCCGGUAGUC